rnacentral:rRNA from 1 species
AUUGAACGCUGGCGGCAUGCCCUACACAUGCAAGUCGAACGGUAACACGUCUUCGUUUGCUGACUGGUGGCAACCGGGUGCGUAAUACAUCGGAACGUGCCCGCUCGCUAUGGAUCACGGAGCGAAACCUGUGCUAAUACCUCAUACGAUCUAAUAAUGUAAACAGGGGACCGCAAGACCUUACGCCGGCGUAGCGGCCGAUGGCAGAUUAGUUAGUUGGUAGGGUAAAAGCUUACCAAGGCGACGAUCAGUAGCUGGUCUGAGAGGACGAGCGGCCACACUGGAACUGAGACACGGCCCAGACUCCUACGGGAGGCAGCAGUGGGGAAUCUUGGGCAAUGGGCGAAAGCUUGAUGCAGCAAUGCCGCGUGAGUGAUGAAGGUCUUCGGGUUGUAAACUGCUUUUGUAAGGAACGAAAAGACGCGUACUAAUAUAGAGGCUCCUUGACGGUACCGUAAGAGUAAGCACCGGCUAACUACGUG